AUUGAACGCUGGCGGCAGGACUAACACAAGCAAGUCGAACGAGUGGCGGACGGGUGAGUAAUGUAUGGGAAACUGCCUGAUGGAGGGGGAUAACUACUGGAAACGGUAGCUAAUACCGCAUACCAUCAGAUGUACCCAGAUGGGAUUAGCUAGUGGGUGGGGUAACGGCUCACCAACGCGACGAUCCCUAGCUGGUCUGAGAGGAUGACCAGCCACACUGGAACUGAGACACGGUCCAGAAGCCGACGGGCGGCAGCAGUGGAUAAUAUUGCACAAUGGGCGCAAGCCUGAUGCAGCCAUGCCGCGUGUAUGAAGAAGGCCUUCGGGUUGUAAAGUACUUUCAGCGGGGAGGCGUUACCCGCAGAAGAAGCACCGGCUAACUCCGUGCCAGCAGCCGCGGUAAUUC
rnacentral:rRNA from 1 species